rnacentral:rRNA from 1 species
GAUGAACGCUGGCGGCGUGCCUAAUACAUGCAAGUCGAGCGAACAGACGAGGAGCUUGCUCCUCUGACGUUAGCGGCGGACGGGUGAGUAACACGUGGAUAACCUACCUAUAAGACUGGGAUCACUUCGGGACACCGGCGCUAAUACCGGAUAAUCUAUUGAACCGCAUGGUUCAAUAGUGAAAGACGGUUUUGCUGUCACUUAUAGAUGGAUCCGCGCCGCAUUAGCUAGUUGGUAAGGUAACGGCUUACCAAGGCGACGAUGCGUAGCCGACCUGAGAGGGGGAUCGGCCACACUGGAACUGAGACACGGUCCAGACUCCUACGGGAGGCAGCAGUAGGGAAUCUUCCGCAAUGGGCGAAAGCCUGACGGAGCAACGCCGCGGGAGUGAUGAAGGUCUUCGGAUCGUAAAACUCUGUUAUUAGGGAAGAACAAAUGUGUAAGUAACGAUGCACGUCUUGACGGUACCUAAUCAGAAAGCCACGGCUAACUACGU